rnacentral:rRNA from 1 species
AUUGAACGCUGGCGGCAUGCCUUACACAUGCAAGUCGAACGGCAGCACGGGAGCAAUCCUGGUGGCGAGUGGCGAACGGGUGAGUAAUGUAUCGGAACGUGCCCAGUCGUGGGGGAUAACGUAGCGAAAGCUACGCUAAUACCGCAUACGUCCUGAGGGAGAAAGCGGGGGACCGUAAGGCCUCGCGCGAUUGGAGCGGCCGAUGUCUGAUUAGCUAGAUGGUGAGGUAAAGGCUCACCAAGGCGACGAUCAGUAGCUGGUCUGAGAGGAUGAUCAGCCACACUGGAACUGAGACACGGCCCAGACUCCUACGGGAGACAGCAGUGGGGAAUUUUGGACAAUGGGCGAAAGCCUGAUCCAGCAAUGCCGCGUGUGUGAAGAAGGCCUUCGGGUUGUAAAGCACUUUUGUCCGGAAAGAAAUGGCUCUGGUUAAUACCUGGGGUCGAUGACGGUACCGGAAGAAUAAGGACCGGCUAACUACGUGCCAGCAGCCGCAGUAAAAC